GUAAGAGACUAAAGUUAAACCCGUCAAGUCAAGUGUAAAUUCUAGAUCCACCUCUUCAUAAUAGUGCACUCAUGCUCUUCAAAUCCUGGAUCGGCCUAAGCUCUCACCCGUCAUAUAACUGUCCGUACAAGCUUCCCCCCCCCCCCCCCAAAACCCUAUAGAUCUCUCACUUUAUCAUCUCUUUCAUUCUCUCACCAGCCGGCGCCGAAAAUCGCCCAUGGUGAAACCUCACCACCAAAUAAACCCAAAUUAAUACCCUACAAUCCCCGUCCUCUCCCAUCCCAUAUCCCCUUUCAAUUUCAUUCAAAACACCCUAGAUUUUCUUGAGUUUCAGAUCUAAGAAAUUUCAAAAACCUAGUUUCAUUACUCUUUGAUUUCUUCAGUGGCCCUUGAUCGUUUUGACUUGAAAUUGACAUUGAUCGAUUGCUCUUAUCAAUAGUAAUAGAUUAAUGUAAGUUUUAGCUCAUUUUGAAGCUAUCAGAAUCCGGCCAGAACCACCUCGAACCUCCGUCUCUUUCGCUUUUCAGGUAUGCGAUGAGAAUUGCUACACGUAGCAUUAGCCAUGUGAAGAGAUUCCGGCCAGUGCUCGUGUUACAAUCCCCGUUGUUUUCCAGAAAUCGCUUCACUGUCUCGUUUGGUUCAAUAGGUAUAUUUCUAUGCCCCAUUCUGCUUACAAUUGUUUGUUAUUGAUCUUUCGUUGCCUCAUGUCUGCUGGUCCGUCAAUUCUACUAUUUCUUAGUUUUCUUCAAUUGGUAGAUAAUCAAACUCGUACAUGCAUUUUUAGGUGUUAAUUGCUUGAUUGCUUAUUAUUAAUCGCUGAUUUGCUAGUCACUUAAGUGAUUUUUUGUUUUAUUUGUUUUGUCAUACCCAUAGUUGAUUAAGAUAAGGUUUUAUUGUUGAUUAAUCACUUUAGGAUAGUUUGAUUUGUUUUAAUUGAAAGAAAUGAAAACUUGGGCCCGGGCAGCGGGUUUGGAGUCCUUUUGAUUUAAGCCCAGUUUAGGAUUUCUGAAAUUAGGAAGAGGUAAAAAAAGAAAGUAAAAGAAAAAUGGUAAAUAGUAGAAGAUAAAGGGGUCAAUUGGGAAUCAAAUGUGAAAUAAUCUUUCGUAACAACCUGAAUGAUCUAGAAUGGAAUAGAAGGGAUUAAAAUGUAAUAAAACGAGAAAAAAUGGGUCAAAUUUGGGGUAAAAAGGGAUAAAUUCAGAAGUUAAAGGGGCUGUUUAAAGAGGAAGGAACAACUGUCCAAUUAUGUUAAGGAAGAUGUUUUCCCCUAUUUUACAGGGCUAACAAAUUCUCUCACACAUUUCUUGAUUUUUUCUGUAUAAAAGUGCACACACAGUCUCUUACGAGGGAAACGUAUAUCUUUGCACUCUAGAGAAAAACACACACUCAUUCGAUUUUUUUUCCAGAGAAUUAUAGCCUAUUUGGGCAAGCUUUUUUUUGGGCUAAAAAUUAUUAUUAUUAUUAUUUUGCCAAAAGUGUUUUUGGCCAAAAAUUGAGGGGUUUGGCCAAGCUUUUAGAAGGAAAAAUAGUGCUUUUGAGGAGAAGCAGAAGCAGAUUUUGAGAAGCAGAAGAAUAUAGCUUCUCACCAUAAGCACUUUUGAGAAAAAUACACUUAGAAGCAGUUUUCAAAAGUUUGGUCAAACACUAAUUACUGUUUAAAAUUACUUUUUAAAUUAAUUAGCCAAACACAAACCGAUUUUCAUCAAAAUUACAUGUUUGAAAAGCGCUUUUGAAAAAAAGUCUAUUAGUCUUCAUUCUCACAUUUUCACUAGACGCCUAAAAAAGAGGGCAGCUGAAACUCUCAAAUUCCAGAUCAGAGUUUCAAAAUCCUUUAAGAAAACAACACAACAAAAGCUGAAAUAAAAGGUUACAGGGCUGAUUCACAGUUUGGGUUUCUUUUUAUAUUCUCUGGACAUGUUCGAAUUCAGUGGAGCGCUGAAAAAUUUCAUUGCUGGUUGAUUCACUGUCUUUUGCUGCAGCUGAUUGUUCCAGUUCAUUGAUUUCAGCUCCUGCUUGGUUUUCUAAUUGUUUUACUGCCGAUUAAGCUAUUUACUUCAAGUCUCCAACAAUGUAAUUGCUAUAAUUGUUAAUUAAAUGUCAUAAUCUGCUGUAAUAUGUUCAUUUACAUGUCUGUUGUGUGUUCUUUCAUGUUGGUCACAUUUCCUAGUUAGUGUUGAUUGGUUCGAUACAACUGACAUCUAAAAGCAUGGCAUUAAAACUCGAAUCACAAAUUUGUAUGAUAAUUGAACUUAUGAUUCAUGUGAUUUCUUGUUAUCAGAACUGUCCCUAGCUUAAUCAGGGUCGCGUGUGAGAUUUUCAAAGUUUCAUUGCUAAAUCUGUCAUUAGAGACGAAAUACUGAGGUGUUUGUGAUAAGUUUGGAGCUACGACCCGCGCUUGUGGCGUAAUGCAGGAAUUUCACAGAGUUUGAAAGUAGUCUUUAUGUAAUGUUUGAUUUUAUUUAAUACAAUUUGGUUUGUAAUAUGAGAAUCAUUUGACAAACGGAUGCUUUUGUGUUAAACUGAAAACUGGGUUUGGUUUAAUUUAGUUCUUCGACAGUAGUGGAUGCUCGUGCUGUGAUUUUUCAGAAAUGAUUGACUAUGUUUGUUUGAUUAAUUCAAUUUUGCAUUAAUAUAUGAAUUUGAAGCGGGUGUAGAAAUGGG
rnacentral:lncRNA from 1 species